GUGACCUCAAAUCAGGUAGGACUACCCGCUGAACUUAAGCAUAUCAAUAAGCGGAGGAAAAGAAACUAACAAGGAUUCCCCUAGUAACUGCGAGUGAAGCGGGAAAAGCUCAAAUUUAAAAUCUGGCAGUCUUUGGCUGUCCGAGUUGUAAUCUAGAGA
rnacentral:rRNA from 1 species